rnacentral:tRNA from 1 species
UGCCAAAUAGCUCAGUGGUUAGAGCACUUCACCAGAGAUUCAGGAGGACCGGGUUCAAAUCCUGGUCUGGCCC